rnacentral:rRNA from 1 species
AAAUUGAAGAGUUUGAUCAUGGCUCAGAUUGAACGCUGGCGGCAGGCCUAACACAUGCAAGUCGAACGGUAACAGGAAGAAGCUUGCUUCUUUGCUGACGAGUGGCGGACGGGUGAGUAAUGUCUGGGAAACUGCCUGAUGGAGGGGGAUAACUACUGGAAACGGUAGCUAAUA